UACAAAUGGGAUGAGCCCAAAUAAAUGGUUAAAGUUUAGAAUGCUGUGUUUGAAAUCAAAUUUACAUUGGUUGCAAGGAAAAUACGAUGUGACACAGCUCAAAAGUUGGAUUAAUAGCAUCCAUCUUUUAAAAAGUGUGUAGUAUCUUAUGAG
rnacentral:rRNA from 1 species